AUUGAACGCUGGCGGCAUGCCUUACACAUGCAAGUCGAACGGCAGCACGGGAGCAAUCCUGGUGGCGAGUGGCGAACGGGUGAGUAAUAUAUCGGAACGUGCCCAGUCGUGGGGAUAACGUAGCGAAAGCUACGCUAAUACCGCAUACGAUCUAUGGAUGAAAGCGGGGGAUCGCAAGACCUCGCGCGAUUGGAGCGGCCGAUAUCAGAUUAGGUAGUUGGUGAGGUAAAGGCUCACCAAGCCGACGAUCUGUAGCUGGUCUGAGAGGACGACCAGCCACACUGGGACUGAGACACGGCCCAGACUCCUACGGGAGGCAGCAGUGGGGAAUUUUGGACAAUGGGCGCAAGCCUGAUCCAGCAAUGCCGCGUGCAGGAUGAAGGCCUUCGGUUGUAACUGCUUUGUACGGUAACGAAAGGUUACUCUUAAUAACGUAGGAGCUCAUGACGGUACCGUAAGAA
rnacentral:rRNA from 1 species